AAUUUAAAUUUAUUUUCCUAUAUAUAUAUUUAGUUGAUUAAUUAUUAUAUAAUAAGCAAAUAAGAUUAUUAUUGUUGAUGGAAUUGUCACUGAAUAAUUGUUUGGAUUGAUCUUAGUUUGAGUUAUUAUAUAUUUGUUUAUUUCUGAUAGGACAAAAUGUCAGAAAUAUAGGGGAAACUUUGUUCUUUUUUCGAAAUAAAUUUCUUAAAUUUAUUAUAGUUUAUUCCUUAUAACUGUUUAUUUAUAUGUUACAGGAGAAAGAUUUGGGUCGAAAGCCCAAUUAUUAUGAGUUACUUGUUCAAACUCAUGCUCGCGAUCAUGUCAAAGAAAGAUUUGUGUAUAAAAAGUCUAGGCAAAUAAAUGAAGCAUUAGUGGCUAAAAGUGAAGAGCUCCAAUGAACUACACUUUACACUAUCGAUGAGAAUCAAAUUUAUUUGGAUGUUGUUGAGGCUAGCCAGAAGAGACGGAUGGUGCAUGGGCCUGGAUCAGAAUCAUCUAUCAUUUACCCUUCACGAGCAUCUUCUUCUAGGGGGUCCUCAUCACAUGAUCCUCAAUCUGCUAUUUUACAACAAGAAGUAGAAAUUUGAAGAAGCAAUUUGAAGAAGCAACUUGAAGAAGAGAGGCAAAGAGGCAAGCAGAGAAACAAGCUAUUAUGGGGCAACUUGAAAAAGAGAGGCAACAGAGGCAAGCAAAGAAGCAAGUUCUCACGAAGCAAUUUGAGAUGCGUUUGGAAAACAUGAGACAAUCAAUGUUUGGAGAAGAUAAUGAGAUUAGUCAGAGGCCUACCAACUCCUCUACCUCCAACGUCGCCUCCACCUCCACUUAAUAAGGAUUGAUGGUUUUGUAUUUUAACUUUAACUUAUUAAACUUUAAUAUUUUUAUAUUACGGGAGUUUAUAUUUAUUUUAUAACAUGUAUGGAGUAUUAUUAUUAAUAAUAUUAUUGGAUUAUUA
rnacentral:misc_RNA from 1 species